AUGGAUGGCCGUCCUGGUAAAUGCAGUCCAGAAGAAAGUAAACCAGCAUUACAUGCCCCUCCCCUGAGUUGGGUAAUAUCCACCUCAAUGUACAUCUUCUUUUAUGAGGAAAAGAUCACUGACGAUCUUCUCAUGCUAAGGUGGUUGAGACAAGGUGAUUCAUCGUCUGUUAGUUAGCUAGAUGUCAAGUUUUCACCAAAAGACCUUCAGUUGGUGGAUGACCUAGAUGGAGUACUAAUCCUCCUCAAUAGAGAAGGAUCAGCAGUGGGAGAAUUCUUAUGUAAAAGAAAUGAUGAAAGGUCAUCCUUCUGUGAGUUGCUGAGUGGUUUUAAGGAAAACUCCAAUCUGUCUACUCUAAAGUUAAAUGAUUACAGUGAUUUUUAUAGCAAUCUUGAGAUUAAUUACCAAUGUUCUUAAAAAGGUUAUUACAUGCUUUUUGCCAAUUAUUGUGAUUACCCUGAAGAAUAAAUGCAUAAUUAUAGAAAAAUGUUACA
rnacentral:lncRNA from 1 species